GAUGAACGCUGGCGGCGUGCCUAAUACAUGCAAGUCGAGCGAACAGACGAGGAGCUUGCUCCUCUGACGUCAUAGGCGGACGGGAGAUGAACACGUGGUUAACCUACCUCCAAGACUGGGAUAACUAUGCGAGACAGUAGCUAAUACCGGAUAAUAUAUUGAACCGCAUGGUUCAAGAGUGAAAGUCGGUUUUUCGGUCAGUAAUAGAUGGAUCAGCCCCGCAUUCGCUAGUUGGGAGCGUAGCGGAUUAGCAAGGCUACGACGGGUAGCCGCCCCCAACGCGUGGUCGGCCACCCUGGAUCUGAGGCACGGUUCAGACUCCUGCGGGAGGCAGCAGCAGAGACUCUUCCGCAAUGCGCCAGUGCCUGACAGAGCACCGCCGCGUGAGUGAUGAUGCUCUUCUGCUCCUAAAGCUCUGUUAUUCGUGGAGUUCUAAUGUGUAUGUAACUAUGCUCAUCAUGACGGUACCUGAUCAGAAAGCCACGGCUAACUACGUG
rnacentral:rRNA from 1 species